rnacentral:rRNA from 1 species
CCUACGGGUGGCAGCAGUGAGGAAUAUUGGUCAAUGGACGAGAGUCUGAACCAGCCAAGUCGCGUGAAGGAUGACUGCCCUAUGGGUUGUAAACUUCUUUUAUAUGGGAAUAAAAUGUUCCACGUGUGGGCUUUUGUAUGUACCAUAUGAAUAAGGAUCGGCGAACUCCGUGCCAGCAGCCGCGGUAAUACGGAGGAUCCGAGCGUUAUCCGGAUUUAUUGGGUUUAAAGGGAGCGUAGGUGGAUUGUUAAGUCAGUUGUGAAAGUUUGCGGCUCAACCGUAAGAUUGCAGUUGAAACUGGCAGUCUUGAGUACAGUAGAGGUGGGCGGAAUGCGUGGUGUAGCGGUGAAAUGCUUAGAUAUCACGAAGAACUCCGAUUGCGAAGGCAGCUCACUGGACUGCAUCUGACACUGAGGCUCGAAAGUGUGGGUAUCAAACAGGAUUAGAUACCCUUGUAGUC